GAUCAUGGCUCAGGAUGAACGCUAGCUACAGGCUUAACACAUGCAAGUCGAGGGGCAGCAUGGUCUUAGCUUGCUAAGGCCGAUGGCGACCGGCGCACGGGUGAGUAACGCGUAUCCAACCUGCCUUACACUCUUGGACGGCCUUCUGAAGGGAGAUUAAUACAAGAUGUUAUCAUGAGUAAGCAUUUUCGUCAUGAUUAAAGGUUUACCGGUGUAAGAUGGGGAGUGCGUU
rnacentral:rRNA from 1 species